rnacentral:rRNA from 1 species
UACGGAGGGAGCUAGCGUUGUUCGGAAUUACUGGGCGUAAAGCGCGCGUAGGCGGCUUUGUAAGUUAGAGGUGAAAGCCCGGGGCUCAACCCCGGAAUUGCCUUUAAGACUGCAUCGCUUGAAUCCGGGAGAGGUGAGUGGAAUUCCGAGUGUAGAGGUGAAAUUCGUAGAUAUUGGGAAGAACACCGGUGGCGAAGGCGGCUCACUGGCUCAUUACUGACGCUCAGGCGCGACAGCGUGGGGAUCAAACAGG